UGGGGAAUAUUGCACAAUGGGCGCAAGCCUGAUGCAGCCAUGCCGCGUGUGUGAAGAAGGCCUUCGGGUUGUAAAGCACUUUCAGCGGGGAGGAAGGCGUUAAGGUUAAUAACCUUGGCGAUUGACGUUACCCGCAGAAGAAGCACCGGCUAACUCCGUGCCAGCAGCCGCGGUAAUACGGAGGGUGCAAGCGUUAAUCGGAAUUACUGGGCGUAAAGCGCACGCAGGCGGUCUGUCAAGUCGGAUGUGAAAUCCCCGGGCUCAACCGUGGAACUGCAUUCGAAACUGGCAGGCUAGAGUCUUGUAGAGGGGGGUAGAAUUCCAGGUGUAGCGGUGAAAUGCGUAGAGAUCUGGAGGAAUACCGGUGGCGAAGGCGGCCCCCUGGACAAAGACUGACGCUCAGGUGCGAAAGCGUGGGGAGCAAACAGG
rnacentral:rRNA from 1 species